GAUGAACGCUGGCGGCGUGCCUAAUACAUGCAAGUCGAGCGAACAGAUGAGGAGCUUGCUUUUCUGAUGUUAGCGGCGGACGGGUGAGUAACACGUGGAUAACCUACCUAUAAGACUGGGAUAACUUCGUGAAACCGGAGCUAAUACCGGAUAAUAUUUUGAACCGCAUGGUUCAAUAGUGAAAGACGGUUUUGCUGUCACUUAUAGAUGGAUCCGCGCUGCAUUAGCUAGUUGGUAAGGUAACGGCUUACCAAGGCAACGAUGCGUAGCCGACCUGAGAGGGUGAUCGGACACACUGGAACUGAGACACGGUCCAGACUCCUACGGGAGGCAGCAGUAGGGAAUCUUCCGCAAUGGGCGAAAGCCUGACGGAGCAACGCCGCGUGAGUGAUGAAGGUCUUAGGAUCGUAAAACUCUGUUAUUAGGGAAGAACAAAUGUGUAAGUAACUAUGCACAUCUUGACGGUAACUAAUCAGAAAGCCACGGCUAACUACGUG
rnacentral:rRNA from 1 species